AGUUUGAUCCUGGCUCAGGAUGAACGCUAGCGACAGGCUUAACACAUGCAAGUCGAGGGGCAGCAUGAUUUGUAGCAAUACAGAUUGAUGGCGACCGGCGCACGGGUGAGUAACGCGUAUGCAACUUACCUAUCAGAGGGGGAUAGCCCGGCGAAAGUCGGAUUAAUACCCCAUAAAACAGGGGUCCCGCAUGGGAAUAUUUGUUAAAGAUUCAUCGCUGAUAGAUAGGCAUGCGUUCCAUUAGGCAGUUGGCGGGGUAACGGCCCACCAAACCGACGAUGGAUAGGGGUUCUGAGAGGAAGGUCCCCCACAUUGGUACUGAGACACGGACCAAACUCCUACGGGAGGCAGCAGUGAGGAAUAUUGGUCAAUGGCCGAGAGGCUGAACCAGCCAAGUCGCGUGAAGGAAGAAGGAUCUAUGGUUUGUAAACUUCUUUUAUAGGGGAAUAAAGUGGAGGACGUGUCCUUUUUUGUAUGUACCCUAUGAAUAAGCAUCGGCUAACUCCGUGCCAGCAGCCGCGGUAAUACGGAGGAUGCGAGCGUUAUCCGGAUUUAUUGGGUUUAAAGGGUGCGUAGGUGGUGAUUUAAGUCAGCGGUGAAAGUUUGUGGCUCAACCAUAAAAUUGCCGUUGAAACUGGGUUACUUGAGUGUGUUUGAGGUAGGCGGAAUGCGUGGUGUAGCGGUGAAAUGCAUAGAUAUCACGCAGAACUCCGAUUGCGAAGGCAGCUUACUAAACCAUAACUGACACUGAAGCACGAAAGCGUGGGGAUCAAACAGGAUUAGAUACCCUGGUAGUCCACGCAGUAAACGAUGAUUACUAGGAGUUUGCGAUACAAUGUAAGCUCUACAGCGAAAGCGCUAAGUAAUCCACCUGGGGAGUACGCCGGCAACGGUGAAACUCAAAGGAAUUGACGGAAGGGCGAA
rnacentral:rRNA from 1 species